AAUUUGAGGGAUGAGUCCAUAGACAAAAACUGCAGCUGCAGUUGCUAUGUCGUUUGGUUCCCCGAGUAAGACCAAGAUGGGCUUCGAAAAGACAUAGAUCAGCGCGAGAGGGAUCCCCGUUGCCAUCAGGAGAAUUGUUGAUCUCUGGAGAUAUAUGCCUAGCAUUUCGAAUUUGUGCGCCCCAUAUGCUUGCCCACAAAGGGUUUCCA
rnacentral:misc_RNA from 1 species